UACGGGGGGGGCAAGCGUUGUUCGGAAUUACUGGGCGUAAAGCGCGUGUAGGCGGCUCUUCAAGUCGAGUGUGAAAGCUCCAGGCUUAGCCUGGGAAUUGCGCUCGAUACUGUUGAGCUAGAGUGUGGAAGGGGCUACUGGAAAUUCCGUGUGUAGCGGUGAAAUGCGUACGAUACGUACGGAGGAACACCUGGCGGCGAAGGCGGGUAGCUGGGCCAACACUGACGCUGGAGACGCG
rnacentral:rRNA from 1 species